AUGGAGAUGACGACUGAUUUAGAGUCCGGGCCGCAACAGUCCACCGAAGAAAGUAAAGGCCAGCUGAAUAGAUGGAAGAGAUUGUCAUGGAAGUUGUGUAUUUACCUUGGUACUAUUGGAAUGCUGGUUGCUUUUCUAAUGGGUUUGGACAUGUCUUGGACUGCACUCACAACAGCCCUCAUUUUUGUGAUUCUUGAUUUCAAAGAUGCAGGGCCUUGCCUAGAGAAGGUAAAUCAACAGGUCUUUCACAAAAAUUCUAUUUGCUUUCCUAAAUAUCUUUUCAACAACUGUAAUACUUCCAUGCAGUAUUCGAUUGAGUAAAAAUCUACUUAUCCGUAGUUGCUUGGAUCAGGUUUCAUACUCUCUUCUGGUAUUCUUUUGUGGAAUGUUUAUCACGGUUGAUGGCUUCAAUAAAACAGGAAUUCCUGGCAGUCUCUGGAGCUUGAUGGAGCCUCAUGCACGGAUCGAUCAUGCUAGUGGGAUUGCUGUGCUGGCCAUUGUAAUACUUCUUCUCUCAAAUGUUGCUUCGAAUGUACCAACUGGUAAGUUGAUGCCCUGAUUCUCUUCCUUUGAUUUCACUACAGCACUACGGCUUUAGAGUCUUAUAGAAGGGCAAUAGUAAUUUCCAGUUAAUAUCACUUCAUGGUAGACAAUUGAGGUCUCCAUCUGGUACCUCUGUUUGUUGUUGGAGAUGAGGGUUUUGUUGGGGGUGGGGGGAGAAAUCUUGUUCACGGGAGCAAAUUUAAGAUAAUGUUGGGUAACUGUCUCGAAGAUUGAAAAGACAGAUAAUAAAGAUAAAAAAACUUGUUCUCUUGUCUUUUUUAUUUUUUAAAAAUAGAAAUUUAUUCUAAAAUUAUUUUAAAAAUAUAUUUAUUUUAUAUUUUUGUUUUCAUCUCUUUAUCCAAACAUGUGUCUGUUAUUUCUAUAUUUAUCCUUUUUAUCUUGAAUCUUUAAAAGGAAGAUGAAAAUUAAUAGUAUUAUUGAUAAAUACAAAGUUAGACUUAUUGUUAAAGGAUUUAGACAACAGGAGAGUAUGAAUUAUUUUGAUACAUAUUUACUUGUAUCUAUAAUAACUUCCAUAAGAAUAUUAAUAAUCAUUGCAGUUAUUAACAAGCUUGAAAUACAUCAAAUGAAUUUUAAAAUAAAUUUUUUAAAUGGUGACCUUGAUGAAGAGGUUUACAUGGAAUAACCUGAGAGGUUUCUUGUUAAUAGACAACAAAAAAAAGUUCGUAAGAGUUGUUCAGGGCCAAAAUAAACACAACAAUGAAAACCAAACAAAUUCUCUCGGUAGAUAGCCAUGUGAGUACUAUUGUCUUGGUUUAUAUAAAAAACUAAAUAGUCCAAGACAUCACGCUCACUAUUUGGUUGAGUAAAAUCAAUAGUAUUUCACCAAGGAAGGUUCAAAGUUAAAAGUUAUCUAUCCUAAUAUAGUGAUCUAUCAAAUCAAUAUCUCUCAACAAAUAUUCAAGUCAUUUUAAAACUAGUAAGAUAAUUUUCAUUCAUGUGGAGGAUUGUUGAAAAUUUAUUUAAAGAAUAUGGUUAAUGGGCACAUUUAAGGCCAAAUUAAAAAUAGGAUCUAAAUUUAUUCGAAUUUAAUCUCCAACAUAUGCUCUUUAAUAUAGAACAUUAACAUGAUUUAAAUAAAUUGUGGGUGAAUGAGAAAUUAUUUCAAAGAACCUUUGGUUUGCAUGUUUUGGUGAAACUCAAAAUCCUUUAAAAAACUUUAUCUCGUAUUAGAAAGAAACAAAGUUUUCCUAGUGUUUAUAUAAUGGGUUAUUGAAGAGUUAAGAUUGGGCUCAAAGGGCACCCAAGUUUUUAGAGGGAAGAAGACUUAAACAAAGUGGACUUUGGGCUUAAACUUUUGUGUUGGCUCAACCCGACUUAUACUCAGGCCUGUGGCCUAGACUUGAGUUUGGAUUCAUUGUAAAAUAAUUUUUUGGAUAACAAUAUUUUUUACCAACUUAAAUUUGGGCUUGGAUUUGGUCCAUGAAGAAUUAUUUCUUAUCGUCACGCCCAUUAUUUUGUCCAUCCCAUGAAAGGAAAAAUCUAAUUAGUUUUUCCAGUAAUUUUUCAAAAAAACAUGAAGAUUUUUUUCUCAACUCAAAAGACAUUUGCUCAAGACAAUGUUUUUCCUGAUUUUAGAUACUCUUCCUUUCCUCAAAUCAUAGUGGUUUUUCUCCUUAUUUUUUAAACUUCUAUAUUCCUUCAAAAUCUAGAGCUUAGGUUCAUUUUGAUGAGAGAUUAUUGAAUCCAUCUACUUUGUUUCAAAGAUUUUGUUUAGAAAUGCAUCUAAACUAAGAUGAUGUUGAAUUUUAAAAGGCUUAUUACAAAUAACUUUUGCACCAAGAGAGAAACAAUAAAAUCUAAAUGACAAAUGAUUUAUUAUUAAUUAUAACAAAAGCUUUGUUAUUUAAAGUGCUUUAAUAAAUAAGUACAUUUUUUUAUUUAAACAUAAAUAUAUUGCUUAAUUAGUAUGCAUGUUAGAGUCUUUUAUAUAUAUAUAUAUAUAUAUAUAUAUAUAUAUAUAUAUAUAUAUAUAUAAUGAUAAACUAAACAAUCUAAUAUGUACUUAUUUUUGGCUUACAAGUUCUUUUGCUUGGAGCAAAGGUAGCUACUUCUGCCGCUGCAAUAUCUCCGAGUAAAGAGAAGAAAGCUUGGCUCAUCCUGGCAUGGGUUAGCACAGUUGCUGGAAACCUUUCACUAUUGGGUUCUGCUGCAAACCUAAUUGUGUGUGAACAAGCUCUUCGUGCCCAGCCUAGUUACAAUAUCACCUUUUGGAGCCAUUUGAAAUUUGGUGUUCCAUCCACACUUAUUGUCACUACUAUUGGCUUAACUCUUAUAUAUUGCUAUGAUGUUUGAAGGGCCUAUUUAAAUUGGGCUCUUCUUUAGGCUUUGGAUCUUUAUAAGGUUCUAGGCCCUUCUGCUUGUAAUUAGGUUUUUAUGCAUGUCACUUUAACUCAGAUUUUCAAAGAUGGAUUUAUGUUUUCCUUUUUUUCUGCCAAGGAAGAAGCAAACUUCUCUUUAGAACAGAUGGUGUAAAAGAAAUGAUCUUCCAUUUGUAUACCAUGUUCCACUGCAAUUAUAUGCAGAAAUCCUAGGCAAGGUAUACUAAGUAAUAAGAGCCCAAAAAAGUUGUCAUAAUUUGAUAUUGUUAGACUCACAAUCCUAUAAUGUAAGUAGUGUCAUACCAAGAAAUCAUCAGCAAUUAAUAGUCUUUAAUACCUUAUAUGUAAGCAGGUAUGAUCUUUAUAUCCUAUAUCAUGGUAGUUGCAUCCCUCAUCUUAAAUGUGGGUGACAAAAAGAUUGAAAGUACAAUUUCAUACCUAGGUAGGAAUUCACUAUGAGUUAAUAACACCCUAAUAAAACCUGGCCUGACCCAACAACUCAACUCAAUAACCUGUCAUCUAGAGCUUAGCUUGAACUAGGUUUUACUUUGAAUUAGUUUUUUUUUUUGUCGACCCACCAACUCAUAAAUUAACCCAUCCAAACUAUUAACGUGAUUUAAACUAAGUUAACUACUAGGUUAGAUUUUAUAACUACAGAUCAUGUUAAAUUGUUUGAAUAGCAUCUACUAGCGUCUAUUGUUAGCAACGUGUCAACAUUCUCAAAUCCAUAGGCCAUCCAACCAUAGACAUGAUAGUUGUUGUCAGCUUUAUUAAAAUAACUAAUUUGCAUUGGAAAACAUUAUUCCCCUAGAUUUAGAAUCAUUGUUCAUCAGAAAGUUUAAUGGUGGUUUUGCCCUUCCCACAAAAAAACCAUUGAAUUGUCUAAUAGAGGCAGUACAGUUUUUCCAUAUGGUCCAGUGGUCAUUAUCAUAUUAUUUAGGGACAAGUAAAUCCUUUCACAUUUUAAAAGCAUAAUGAAACAACUAAAAUAUCAUUGGUAGCAGAAAUUUUAAAGCUGGCGUACAGGGGCUCUUUUCUUCUUUUCAUAUUGAUUUUUUUUUGUGAUAAUUAAGUUGGAUAAUAUGCAAUUUGGUAUUUUAAUAAAUAUAAAAUAUAACUAAAAAAACAAAAGUGGUUGGCGCAUAUAAGGCACGCACCAGUGUGUGUGAGGCGCUCACACUAUUCAAGAUAUGCAUGUGGCGCCUCUCAGUGGCAAAAAAAAACCUUUUCACCAUGUCAUUAGAAUAUUUGUGUCAUCAUCUUCCUUUUAGGAUGAAGUGUGGUGUCAGUGGUGGCGCAAUUUAUUGUUGGCAACAUUUUGUUUCUUUUCCCCUCUUUUCUCUCUUUCCCCUCAAAAUUCAUGAUGGCAAUACAAAAAUUAAGAGAGGUCUUAUGUAUUAAGAGCUUGCCAAUUCCUAUAGCUACUUGAUGUGUGUUGUUGAAUAAUCAUAACUGGAAGAGGUCACAUAACAUGAUGUGCUUGUGCUAAAUGUAUAGUGUUAAGGAUCUAUGAUGAGGUAACCCACACAAAAGUAUUGGGAAACCAUAAUGGGGGUGAACCAUACAUAAAAAGAUGUUUGUGGUAUUUGACAGUUUCUAACUGAGAUUUGAACAGUUCUUUCUAGCCUGAAAAUACUGAUGCAAGAACUUAAAAAAAAAUAGAUAUUUUUCAUAGUUAAUUUAAUGUUUUCUAUUCAAUAUUAUUAUGCCUUUUAAUUUUUUUUCCUAUUUAAAGAGAAUAUUUUUCCUAUUCUAUAAUAGGGUUUUUUAGUUUUUCUAUAUAAAGGGUUAUAAUAGUUUUUUGGAAAAUGAAGACUUAGACAAGUAAAAAUUGAAUAUUUUAGGUGUCUCCCCCUAUAUUUAUGAAGAGUUUUGAUUUGUAAUAAAUCUGGUUAUUCUUUGCCCUGUCUAUGUCAAAAACACACAAAUAUCAUAAUAAAACUUGAAAAAAAAGAAAUAUUUAUCAAAACAUUACAUAGUUGUUUUAGUAAAUAGAACUUCUAAAUAAUUUAUUUAUGAUCCAUACAAUCUAAGAGCUAAUAUAUUUAAAAUAAAAUUCAUUAAGGUUAGUUAAUUUUAAAUUAUUUAAUAUAAUUAAUUAUGUAAUUAAAUAUUAAUUAGUUACUAUAAUAGAUCGUUGGUCCACACUACAUUGCAGGCCGGAUUAAAAACAUUUAACGUAAAAAGCAACAUCUAUGCGUUUUUAACAUUUUUCUAGUAGAAAAAAAUUAAAUUGUGUGGGGAUUGACUAAUUGUGACCUGGUUAACUUGGCAAGUUCAAAGACAACCCAGACAACUAAUAAAAAUAUAGUUUCAUUUAAAAAAACUCAAGACGAUAUCUUUUUUAAAAUAUUAAGAUGACAAUAUAUUGGAUCAACUUAGGUCAACCAAUGUUAACCUGCCAAAUCCAACACUCGUGUCAUGAGACCAUGAUAACCCCAUAUAAAGCAAAUCAAAACAAAUUAUGUAGUCUAAUUCCCAAUCAACUCAAUGUUAAAGGAUGAAAUUGAAAAUAAAUAAAUUAAAAAAGACAAAAAAAAACCAACUCGAGUCAACCCGAGUUAACCUGUCAAACUUGCAACCUAAGUCAUAAGAUUGAGAUAACCCUAUAGAAAUCAAAUCAAAAUAAAUUAUGAAGCCCAAUUCCCAAUAAACUCAUUGUUGAAUAAUGAAAUUGAAAAAAAAAUAAAUCCAAAAAAAGAACACAAUAAAAUAACCUGAGCCUACCCGAGUUAACCCGCAAACAAUAACUUCGAUCACGAGACCAAUAUAACCCAAUAAAAAACAAGACAAAACAAAUUAUAAAACUUAAUUCUUAAUUAACCCAUUGUUAAAAUUGAAAUAAAUGUCUAUUAAAAAAAACUUGAGUCAAUUAGGGUAAUAUGCUAAACGAGCAACACGGGUCAUGAGACUAAGAUAAUCACAUAUAAAGCAAACCACAAUAAAUCAUGAAACCCAAUUCUCAACAAACUAAAUAUUAAAGGAUGAAAUUAGAGAGAGAAAAACAUGGAUUAAAAAAAACUAUUGCAAUGAAUAGUAUUGAGUAAGGUGGUGCACAGUAAAAACAUCACCCCUUUUAGUUUUUGUUGAUAAAAAAAUUGAGUUUAUUUAAUUUUAAAAUUUUAAAAUCAUUUUUGUUUUUAAAUAAAAUAAGCAUUUUUCCAUAUCUCAAAAACAUUCCUUCCCAUUCAUUUUAAAAAUAAAAGUUAAUGUUUCUAAUAUGAUUUUAUAAAACCUUAAAAGUUACGCAACAUUUAAAAAAAACUUACUAAAUACAUUUUUUAUGUUUUGCUUUAAAGCAAAGCAAAACAAUAAAGUCUCUGUUUAUUUUUGUAGUACAAUAUAGUGUGGUUUGCGUUUUGCCUCAACCACAUAUUUAAAAAUGUUUGGUUAAUAAACACAUACAAUAGUUUUGCAUACGUUCCAAUGAAAACUCUUUAUUGAAAUCUUGGUUAAGAAAAAGUUACAAUUUGUAGCUUUUCUUAACCUAUGUUUUCAAACCAUAAUCACAAAAACUAUUACAAUGCCAAAGACACACUAAAACCUAGAGAGAUAGGGGAUAUGGUGAGUGGAUGAUGUUGGGAAAUUUCUUCAAUAUUCUUGGCAUAAUAAUGUUUAUUGCAUUAUUUUAUUAGUGGUUAAACUAUUUAGGUUUUGAGGAGAUUAAGGAGACUCCAAGAUAUAAUUUGGUAAAUCAAGCAUAACUUUUAAUCCAACUAUUGGAUUGAGUUAGAAUUUUGACAAAGAAUUUUGAAGGCCAUGUUUCCUAUUAAGUUAAAAAUUCAUGAUGAUUGCAAAUUGAAAAGACCUUUAUAUAAAACUUGAAAGUUAUUGUGCAAGAUUUUUUUUAUUUACCUUAUUAUAUUUGGAUUGUUUUUCUAUUUAUCUAAGGACUUUUAAUUUAAAUAGUAUUUUAUUAUUUAGGAAUCCUAAUGUUAUAUGGAUUCUUUUAGUUAAGUAAGUUUUAAUUAGAAUUCCUUUCCUAUAAAGGAUUCUAGGUAUAAAUAGAGAUGUCUAGUUUAUUAUUUUUCACAUUCAGACUAUUAUUCAAAAUUUAUAAAAUAUCAUUGAGUUUUCUCUAAAUUUCUCUACAACUUAGGCUUGUAAUAUUAGAGCUUAAGGACUCUAGCUUUUAUCAACGUUAUACACCGCGUCAAUACAUAUCAAAGCAGGUUGGUUUUUUUUAUGGUUAAAGAUGGUAGCAACCUACUCCGCGAUGCAGGAGUGAAGGCCCUCUUUUUCUUUUUUUCUUUUUAUCUAGACCCUAGUAUCUAGAAGUCCACUGGACCGCAACUAAUCCGGUUGAGCCAAGUAAGCUAAUUAAAAAGUAAAGCUCUCUUAGUGAUGGUGUACUCCAUUCACAAGGCUCGAACUCGAGACCUUGCUUAAGGGAAACAAGCGCUGAACCACUUGAAUCAACCACCAUUGGUGGAGUGGAGGCUCUCUGAGGCACUAUACGGGCUCGGGAGUAGAAAUUAGAUCGUUGGGAAUGGAGGUUUGAUUGCUUGGAGAAAAUUGUAAUAGAUCUAGCUCAGCUAAUGGGUUUCACAAACAAGGAUCGUGAAGAGGAGAUGAACUUGUCUAGAAAUUUACCUCAAGACAGGCCAAACCCCAAACCCCAUACCUAUUAUUGAAUUCGAUGGGAUUACAUUAUAUGAUAUGAGAUUUUUGAAGAAAGGAUUUAUUAAAAGGUUAACAGAAUUGGAAGUUUACUUUUAUUUCAACAAGGUUCCUUAUCUUCAAAAGGUAGGACUUGUUACACACAAGCUUUAUUAUGGUGCUAGAGAAUGGUGAUUUGAAUUUCUAGACUUUAGAACUCGUAUUGGUACGUCUUUAAUUUCAGUUUGGCAAGAUUUGAGACAAUUAUUAAUUUUGGAGUUUAUACAAGAUGAUUAUUGUUGUUACCCAUUUUUGGGUCCCUACACAUAAAAGGAGAAAAUACAAAAAAAAAAUCAAAAACAUAUAUUCGAAAGAAAACAAAAAAAAUAAUAGUAGUGAGAAGAGGAUGUCGGAGAGCCCAGAAAAUAGCCAAAAAUUGAAAUUUGAUAGUAUAUGUUUUAUUGAUGAAAGACCUGUUGACAAAAAAAAUUCAAUUUGAUAAAGAAAAGUCCAAAAUCAAAUGUUUAUGGACUCAAUUAAAUUUUAUUGAAGGUUUAAUUGAAUUUAUAGAGGGUUUGACUGCAAGAAAAUUGAUUUUGAAGUCAAUUUGAGCUUUAAUUGGAAGAAAUUAAAGUUUAGAGGUCAAAUUAUAAUUUUUAAGAUUUGAUUUGGUCAAAUCAGGGGCUUAAUGACAUAGAUAUUAAAGUUUGAUGGUCAAUUAGGGACUUGAUUAAAGAAAUCUGAAACCAAUGACCAAACUAGAAAAUUGUGCGUAAAUAGAGGGGCUGAAAUUGACUAAAUCAGGGGCCAAAUUGAAAAAAUUAGAAGUUUAUUAAUCAAUUGAGGGUUAAAUUGCAUAAAUUCAAGACUAAGGAUCGAAGCCAACUUCAGGGUCGACGAUUGAAUUUGAUAGGGGUGUAAUUGAAUUGAUUCUUGAAAUCAAAAUUGCAAUUGAGGACUUGAUUAAACAAAUCAUAAAUUAAGGACUGAUUUAGACUUUUGCAUGUUUUUGGCGCCAUUUUUUAAAAAUGAAACGGCGCGUUUUGCACUAAACAACACCAUUUUAGUGCACUGUUCACCACAAAAAAAAGGAAAAGAGGAAAACAGUGUCGUUUUGAACAACAUUGUACUUCUUCUUCUUCUCCUAGACGCACACAGGCAGGGGAAGAAGAAGGAAUUCUCUCCUGUAUUUUCCCUCUCUCUCCCCCCACUUGCUCAAACCCUGACAAAACCCACGCCCUUCAUGGCCUACAACCAUCAUGGAAGGGGUAGAGGAGACAUGCUCUGCAAGCACCUUUGGGGCGACUGUACAAAGGCCACUCCAGCCACCCUACCCUGUCCCAUGACUGGACAGGGGUAAUGUAGCUCCCACUCCCCUACCUUUAUAAAUACUCCCCUCACUAGGUGGUGAGGAUGGUGGGAUGAAAAAACAAAGAUUAUUUAGAAUUGUAUUUGGAUUCUAUUUUCUAUUUAGCUUUGGACUUUAAAUUUAAAUAGUAUUUUAUUAUUCAAGAAUCAUAAUGCUAAAUAGAUUAUAUUAGAUAAUUAAGUUUUAAUUAGGAAUCCUUUUGUGAGGAUUUUAGUUUUAAUUAUAAAUCAUUUCUUAUAAAGGAUUUUAAGUCUAUAAGUAGUAUAUAUAAAUAAGAAUGUCUAGUUAAUUUUAUUCAUAUUUAGAUUUUAUAAAAUACUAAAAUUUUCUCUAAAUUUCUCUCGCAAUUAGAUAUGCAAUUAACUGUAAUACUUCCAUGCAGUAUUUGAUUGAGUAAAAAUCUACUUACCCGUAGUUGCUUGGAUCAGGUUUCAUACUCUCUUCUGGUAUUCUUUUGUGGAAUGUUUAUCACGGUUGAGGGCUUCAAUAGAACAGGAAUUCCUAGCAGUCUCUGGAGCUUGAUGGAGCCUCAUGCACGGUUCGAUCAUGCCAGUGGGAUUGCUGUGCUGGCCAUUGUAAUACUUCUUCUCUCAAAUGUUGCUUCGAAUGUACCAACUGGUAAGUUGAUGCCCUGAUUCUCUUCCUUUGAUUUAACUUCAUAGUACGGCUUUAGAGUCUUAAAGAAGGGCAAUAGUAAUUUCCAGUUAAUAUCACUUCAUGGUAGACAAUUGAGAUCUCCAUGGGAGGAGAAAUCUCUUGAGGCAGUAUUUCUGAGCUGGAGAAUAUGUCAACUUCACCGCUGUCUUGCAUGCUAUUAAUUUCCAGAUACAAUGUUUAAAUAUCUGAAAACGGUCCCACCCCGGUGGCGGAGCCACAUAGGUACGAAAGGGGUCAAUUGUCCUCUUAAUUUUUUUUUAAUAUUUUUUUAUUAGAAUAUUAAUAUAAUAAUUUAGUGAAUGAUUGGGAUAGGAAAGUUGUUAUUGCAGCUCAUUCUCUUUUUUUUUCCUUACUCUAAUUAUGCAAAUUCUCUUUUGUUUUCUCUGCCUCUCUCCCAUAUAUAUGUCCAGCUCGUUCCUUGCUCUCUCCAAUAUAUAAAUUUAUCUUCAAGUAUAGUUAAAUAAUUAACUUUUUUUGCUUUUUACUUUAUAUUUUAAGUAAAUUUCCUUUAUUUUUUUAUUUGUUUUAUUGUCUAAUUUUAAUUUUAUUUUUUUAUAAUUAAUUAUUGAAAAUAUUAGAGUUUAUGAUAAAUAUUUAAGAUUGAUAAUGAAAUUAUUAUGAAGCGGUUUUAAAAUAUAAAAAUUAAAAAAAUAAUAAUUAUAAUGUAAGUUUUUUUAUUUUAAAAUAUUUUAAAAUUAAUUUUAUUUACUAUGAAUAAUUAUAUAUAUUUUGAAUUGAUUUGUAAUGAAUAUAAUUUUGUAAUGAAUUGAUUUGUAAUGAAUAUCUAUAUAAUAUAAUAUUUGUUAAUAAUUUACCUUUUUAUUUAAAAAACUCUUGGUCCGCAGCUGCCCACCUCAUAGGUUCACCUGCACACAUAAGUCCUGAACUGUUAACGUUGUUAUAUGAUGUCUCCGUAGUAUAUUUCCCGCUGGCUGCGACUGAUCCAAAUUCCAUAUCAACUAGCACAAAUAUCUGUGCUCUAGGAACACGCAUUUACUAGAUUUUCAGCAUGGAAUGUCAUGCUAAAGGUUACUUUGGAAAUUGUUUGCUUGCUUUGAAAUGUCUUCGGCUGCUUUGACUGCUUCAGAAGAGAAAAUGUCCAGCAUCUUCAAUCCAUUUCUUAGCCUCUCAUUCUGAUGCGUCUUUUAAACGUAACAUGGAAAUAUUCAUAUGAACUCAUUUAUCUUUCUGGUUCCACAAUCCUUUUUGGAAUCUUUUAAAAGACUUUUAAUAACUUCCAUAUCAACUAGCAAAAAGAUCUGUGCUCUAGGACAACGCAUUUCCCUUUUGCUCAAAAACUACUAGAUUUUCAGCAUGGAACGUCAUGCUAAAGGUUAUUUUGGAAAUUGUCUGCUUGCUUUGAAAUGUCUUCCGCUGCUUCAGAAGAGAAAAUAUUCAGCAUCUUCAAUCCAUCUUAGCCUCUCAUUCUGAUGCGUCAUUUAAACGUAUCAUGGAAAUAUUCAUAUGAACUCAUUUAUCUUUCUGGGUCCACAAUCCUUUUUGGAAUUUUUUAAAAAACUUUUAGAAACUUCCAUCUCACUAGCUCUUAAUGAAUUUGUAGUUUUACUCUUUUCUCAGUUGGUUGCAAAUACUGGUUGAGCUACAGGGUGAUAUCUUCUUCUUUCAGAGCCAGUAAUUUAUUGAAGUUGCAAUGGUGGAGGUCUGCUAAGUGGUAGCUCACAAACAAGCUUAAUCUUGCAAGUUACAGAAAUGGUUCUGGGUUCGUUUAAGAAGGUUGUCUUAGGUUCAGUUGCCUUGGCAAUCUUUUGGAUUUUGGCAGUUUUCCCAGCAGUUCCUUUCUUACCCAUUGGAAGGACUGGAGGUUCCAUCCUCGGGGCAAUGCUUAUGGUUAUUUUCAAAGUCAUCACCCCUGAGCAAGCAUAUUCUGCCAUCAACCUCUCUGUACUGGGCCUUCUCUUUGGAACCAUGGUUGUAAGCAUCUAUCUUGAAAUAGCAGACAUGUUCAAGUACAGAACUCCAGUGUUCAAUUAGGUUGACAGAGUAACUGUGAAGAGAAGAAAGCUUGGCUCAUCCUGGCAUGGGUUAGCACAGUUGCAGGAAACCUCUUGCUGUUAGGUUAUGCCGCAAACAUAAUUGUGUGUGAACAUUCGUGCCCAGCCUAGUUACAAUAUCACCUUUUGGAGCCAUUUGAAGUUCGGUGUUCCAUCCACGCUUAUUGUCACUGCUAUUGACUUAGCUCUUGUAUAUUGCUAUGAUGUUUGAAGGGCCUAUUUAAAUUGAGCUCUUCUUUAGGCAUUGGAUCUUUAUAGAGUUUUAGGCCUUCUGCUUGUAAUUAGGUUCUUAAGCACAGGUCACUUUAACUCAGAUUUUCAAAGAUGGAAUUAUGUUUUCUUUUUUCCUGCCUAGGAUGAAGCGAACUUUUCUUUAGAAGAGAUGGUGUCAAAGAAAUGAUCUUUCAUUUGUAUACCAUAUUCCACUGCAAUUGUGUGCAAAAAUCCUAGGCAAGGUAUACUAAGCAAUAAGAGCCCAGAAAAGUUGUCACAAUUUGAUAUUGUUAGACUCACAAUCCUAUAAUGUAAGCAGUGUUAUGCCAAGAAAUCAUCAGCAAUUAAUAGUCUUUAAUACUUUAUAAGUAAGCAGGUAUGACCUUCAUAUCUUAUAUAGUGGCAGGGUGGCAGCUGCAUCACUCAUCUUAAAUGUGGGUGGCAAAAAGAUUGAAAGUAUAUCUGAUUAGGAAUUCUUAACAACACCCUAAGAAAACUCGACCUAGCCCAACAGCUCAACUUAAUAACCUGUCAUUUAGAGCUUAGCUUGAACUAGGUUUUACUUUGAAUUUUUUUUUUUUUUUAGCCAAAACAACAUUAUUUUAAAUUUUUAUAUAUAAAAAAACCAUAAUUUAGGUCAACUCACCAACUUAUAAAUUAAUCCACUCAAACUGUUAACGGGAUUUAAACUAAGUUAACUACUUAAGUUAGAUUUUAUAACUAUAUAUCAUGUUAAAUUGUUUGAAUAGCAUUUACUAGUGUCUAUUGUUAACGUUUCAACAUUCUCAAAUCCGUAGGCCAUCCAACCAUAGACAUGAUAGUUGUUGUCAGCUUUAUUAAAAGAAACUAAUUUGCAUUGGAAAACAUUAUUCACCUCGAUUUAGAAUCAUUGUUCAUCGGAAAGUUUAAUGUUGGUUUUGCUCUUCCCACAAAAAACCAUUGAAUUGUCUAUUAGGGGUAAUACAGUCUUUCCAUAAGGUCCAAUUAUAGCAACCCUGAUUUUCUAUGUCUUUUUUCGCGAUACAUUAGAAAUUUUCAGGUAAAUUUUUUUUUAUACAGGUUCCACUAAAAUUUUGGCAGAGUCUCCCUUAUAUUAGGAGGUCCCAAGUUAUUGACAAAAUCAUAUUACACUUUUAAUUUUAUUUCACAUUUCGAUCCAAUCAUCCUGGAUCUCAACCCAACUCAUCAUAAUCAACACAACACAUCUUAUUCAAUAACAUCAUAUAAUAUAAUUCAAGUGAAAGAUUCGAUUUCAACUAUAAAUAUGCAUGGUUAAAUCAAAUCUCUUUUACAACAUACAUUUUCCAUCUAUUACCAAUAUCCAUCUAAUAUCCUAUCCCAUUUGUCGAGAAUAAUUUCAUCUUGGAAAUCUCAACACAACUCAAUAGUUUUCGAACAUCAUCUCCUUAUAAAUCAAUUCUCACUUGAUAUUAAGAUAUUCCUCUCUUGCUAUCAUUAGCUUGUCUCAUUCUUUUGGAAUAACUAAUCAAUAUUUUCCCUCUUAUUUUCUGAAAGGUAAUUACCGAUACUAAGAAAUCUCAUUAGUAUCAUUAGUCUCUCAAUAUUGAGUUAGACUAAUCAAUUACAUUCACGUGUCGAUAUCAAUAUAACCGAUUGGUAUCAUUAACUAUUCCUUCCCUAGAAUAGUUAAUGAAAUCUUAUUCAUAUUUGGUUUACCAUCAAAGUUGAUGAUGUCAAGAACCUUUGACAUCAUUAGCCUCCUUACCUAAAGUAGCUAAUCACACCAGAAAUUAUUGUCGAUACCAAUGUGACCCAUUGAUAUCGUUAACUAUUCUCAACCCAAAAUAGUUAAUCAACUUAUCCUUUUCACUUAACUAGGAGUAACCAUGUCGAUGUUAGUAAUCUUUACUAACAUCAUUAGUCACCCAAUUGCUCGGGAUCGACUAAUCAAUUAAAAAAAUGUUGGCACCGAUAAAACCCCAUCGAUACCAUUAGCUAUCCAAACCCGGAUAGCUAAUCAAUAUCAUCUGAAAUGUCGGUACUAAUGGAACCUUAUUUAUACCAUUAGCUAUCAAAACCCGGAUAGCUAAUCAAUGUCAUCUGAAUCUUCCAUUUAUACCAAUCCCCUUCCAUUUUUCUUAUUAACAUAAUAUGCAUUGUAACCACGGUUGCCAAGUAUCAUUCGCAUACAAUCUUAGUUAUCGACACUACAGCCACUAAGCAUCAUUCAGAUAACCUUGUCACCCUCAUCAUAGUGCCAAGUAUCAAUUUAUGCCCUUAGCCACCCUCAUCAUGGUGCUAAGUAUCAUUGUAAUGCGUCAUUAACCACCGACACUAUGGUGACCAAUUAUCUAUCAUUUCUCCUUCAAUCUCUAAGUCAUUGUGAAUAAAUUCAUAAUGAGGUAUGUAAGAUAAUUACGUCUAUUCCAAAGUUAUCAUGACUAAUUCGAUACCUAUCAAUGUAAGGUAAUUGUAUCCAUCCUAAUAAUAAUAUAAUUAAUUUGAUACAUAACAAUGCACACAAGGUAUUAAUAUUCUUUCAAACAUUAUCCUAACUAAUGGAGGUAUACUGUUGUACGCAAGGUACUCUUAUUCAUUCCAAUAAUACCAUCACAAGUUUGAUACAUAUCAAUGUAUGUAAGAUACUCAUAUCCAUUUCAAUUAUAUCAUAACUAGUCGAUACACAUCAAAGCAUGCAAGGUACACAUAUUCAUUCCAAUGUUAUCGAAGCAAUAAAACAAUAAAUUCUGAAAUUUAUUAAUAAGUUACACAAAUUAAAAAGACAAGGUGUGAUGCACCUACCUAGAGUAUGUGCACAUGUUGCCACUCCAUGCAAUUGUCCGAUCCCCAAAGCUUCCCCUGUACCACCAGGGAUUUAGUUUUUAUCAACAAUACAACCAACAUCACAACUUCAUUUAAUUCUCAUUCAACUAGUAUUCUCAAAUUAGUCACAAGGAAUUUUCUUAGAAUCUCAUACUCUUACCCAUUUUCGUGUUCAUAUUCAUUCUUAUUUUAUUAUUAAAACCAUCACUCAACAGCAAUUCCAAGUAAAGAUUAAAAAUUGUCUAAUUCUAAUCAAUUUAGCUUAACCAACCCAGAACAUUAUCUAGUGUUUUAAUCAUAACUAAAGCUGUAAAACUCGGUUUUGGCGUGAUUUGUCUCUGUGAAAGGCUAAAACAUAGAAAUACAACUUUCAUGUAGAAAUCAGCUCCAAAUUAUUUUGUUUUAAGGCUUAAAAUCAAUAAUCACAAUAGCCCCUCCUUUAUAGCUAAAAUUUUGGACAACGAGGAUUUUUAUCCCUUGGAAAUUCUUUUCAACUUCCAACUUAUUUUCAUGCAUAAGCAACAUUAACCAAGGUCAUUUAACAUCAUUAAAUCACAAAUUUAAACCAAUUCUAAAACAAACUAUUUAAACAAUUUCCCUACCUCUAUAAUAUAGCAAGAUUCAGCCAAAAUAGGGGAACUCAUCCCUUUGGAAUUUCUCCUUUUUUUUUACACAUGCUACAUAUGUUAUUAUCCUUGUUUAGCAUUAUUAAUACAACAAAACAAUGAACCAUUUAUUUUCUUUCACUUUCUCCUCGUGUAAUUAAACAUAUACGACAAACCUUAACAAUUAAUAUUAUUACAUCAUUAUCACAACAAUAAUUUCACCCUACUAGUUAGAAUCCAUGAUAAUCUUCAUUAACUAAUCAAUUUGUCAAAAAUAUACUUAUGACUAGCCUUAAAUAUGUUUUAUUUUCCAAAUUUUUUUCAUUUCAAUUUCUUCAUGGUUCCACCCCAUUCAUAUCCACACAGCUAACAAGUUAGCCUUUUAUUCAAUCAGCAUGUUCAUAUAGUAAUGUUCAUUCCUAUUCUUACACCAUAAUCAUUCUACCCUACCUAUAAAGAAUACACAAUUAAUCUAUAACAAUAUUAAUAACAACAUAUUUACCAUUACAUCUUCCAUAAACCCUAACACCUACACAAUUCUAAUUUCAUCAAAACAUGUAUUUAAUCAAGUUUCCUAAAUUUUGCCAAAACUAACAAUAGAUUCAAAAAGCAAUAAGUCAUCUACCUUAGAUUUCAUUUUCUAACCCAACAGUCAGAAUAUAGAUCUUGGAUUCGUGCACAAUAUAUCUCAAAAUCGGAAUGAUCCAACGGUUAAGCCUCCCUAGAUCUGAAUAAAACCGAGCUAACCUGAAAAAUGAUGAGCUAUUGUUUAACAUGAAUGACACCCUUCCGAAGAGUGUGUUUCCGAUCUCCACCGUCCAGAAUGAAGGAAACAUCUAGGCGCACUAUAUAUCCAAAUAAGACAUGAUCCAGCGGUCAAAGAUAGAGAAAUCGACCAGCCAUCAAAACUACCCUGCAGGUGUAUUUCCUUUUGUUUUCCAGGAAAUAUCUGAAGAUGAUUUCUGUCAAACGGGUUAUGUGCUUUCAAAUCCCUCUAGCUAGUUAGUAGAAGUGUGUGAGAAGAAUAAUAUAUCUAUAAAGCAGUGUGAUCCAACGGUGGCUUCCAACGAUAUGGCCACCAGAGCAUUAUUGCCUUCUUUGGAUUGGCUCCAAAUUAUGCACUUCUCUCUCUAGCCGAAUUUCUCUAUUGUCUCUCACCUUUUUUUCUAGACUGGUUGGAUUCUUUGCUGUUUUAAAGGCAUAUUUUCCAUUAAUUAUAAUUUUGUCCCUUAUUUAUGCCUUUAUGUAUUUUAUUUUAUUUUUCACGUAAACUAUUUGGUUUGUUUCUACUUAAAUCGCUAGUAUUUACCGAACUCUGAUUGGGAUGAAAUAUUUAACCAAGGUAGAAAAACAUAUAAAUAGACUUUAUGCAAAAUUGCAUCUCGAUCUGGCGAUUGGAUUGAGAGCUUUGCUUUCUAAUGUAAAAUUGGUCAGUUUAUUACUUUUCAUCAACAAUCUAAAUUUUCUUAUUCAAUCUUCACAUAACAUCAUAUCAAUUAUCAUUCUAAACCUUUAAGGUCAUUUUAUUAUUUUGAAAUAUAUUCAGUUUAAAAUUUUCACCUUUAUUUAUUUAUCGGGCUUAUUACCGUUUUAAAGUAACGUCACUGAUUUUUAAUCGGUGUUUGCACCUUCAUUCUUGCCCUUUUCAUUGCAUUAUCCUUUAUUAUAAUUUAUUCUUUAUUACCUCACUUAUUCCCUAGAAACAUUAUGUCAUUUUACUUAUUAUUUUAUCCAUCAAAACGUGUUACUAAUUUCUCUGUCCUUAUGAAUUCUAAACCAAAAUUCAUUUUAUGAAGGUCAUCCCCUCCAUUAUAUAUCAUAUUUAUCUAUUAUUUCUUAUCUUGGUUUUCAUCACUCAUCAAGAUCGUACCAUUUUCAGUCUUAUGUUUACAUGGAAGUUUACACAUCCGCAUAUUUAAAUUAUAAAUUUCUAGGGUUUCACACCAAUGGUCAUUAUCAUAUUGUUCAGGGACAAGUAAGUCCUUUAGCAUUUUAGAAGCACAAUGAAACAACAAAAAUAUCUUUCUUUUCAUAUUGAUUUUUUUUAUGACAAUUAAGUUGGAUAAAAUAUAAUUUGGUAUUUUAAUAAAUAUAAAAUAUAACUAAGAAACAAAAAUGGUUGACGCAUGCAAGGCAUAAACCAGUGUGUGUGAGGCACUUGCACUAUUCAAGAUGUGCAUGUGGCACCUCUCGGUGGCAAAAAAUACCUUUUCACCAUGUCAUUAGAAUCUGUGUCAUCAUCUUUCUUUUAGGAUGACUCGUGGUGUCAGUGGUGGCACGAUUUAUAGUCAACAACAUUUUCUUUCUUUUCCCCUCUUUCCUCUCUUUCCCCUCAAAAUUCAUGAUGGCAAUACAAAAAUUCAAAGAGGUCUUAUUUAUUAAGAGCUUGCCAAUUCCUAAUAGCUACUUGAUGUGUGCUGUUGAAUAAUCAUAACUGGAAGAGGUCACAUAACAGGACGUGCUUAUGUCAAAUGCAUAGUGUUAAGAAUCUAUGAUGAAGUGACCCACACAAAAGUAUUGGGAAACCAUAAUAGGGUGAGCCACACAUAAAAAGAUAUUUGUGGUGUUUGACAGUUUCUAGCUGAGAUUUGAAUAGUUCUUUUUAGCCUGAAAAUACUGAUGCAAGAACUUUUUAAAAAAAACAUAUAUUUUCAUAGUUAAUUUUAUGUUUUUCUAUUCGAUAUUAUUAUGCUUUUUUAAUUUUUUUCCUAUUUAAAGGGAAUAUUUUCCUAGUUUAUUUUUCAUAUUCUGUAAUAGGGUUUUUUAGUUUUUCUCUAUAAAGGGUUAUAAUAGUUUUUUUGGAAAAUAAAGACUUGGACGAGUAAAAAUUGAAUAUUUUAGGUGUCUCUCCUAUAAUUAUGGAGAGUUUUGACUUGUAAUAAAUCUAGUUAUCUUUUGCCCUGUUUGUGUCAAAAACACACAAAUAUCAUAAUAAAACUUGAAAAAAAAGAAACAUUUAUCAAAACAUUACAUAGUUUUUUUAGUAAAUAGAACUUCUAAAUAAUUUAUUUAUGAUCCAUACAAUCUAAGAGCUAAUAUAUUUAAAAUAAAAUUCAUUAAGGUUAGUUAAUUUUAAAUUAUUUAAGAUAAUUAAUUAUGUAAUUAAAUAUUAAUUAGUUACUAUAAUAGAUUGUUGGUCCAAACUACAUUGCAGGUCGGAUUAAAAACAUUUAACAUAAAAAGCAACAUCUAUGCGUUUUUAACAUUUUUCUAGUAGAAAAAAAUUAAACUGUGUGGGGAUUGAUCAAUUGUGACCUGGUCAACUUGGCAAGUUCAAAGACAACCUAGACGACUAAUAAAAAUAUAGUUUGAUUUAAAAAACUCAAGACGACAUCUUUUUUAAAAUAUUAAGAUGACAAUAUAUUGGAUCAACCUAGGUCAACUAAGGUUAACCUGCCAAAUCCAACACGCGUGUCAUGAGACCAUGAUAACCCCAUAUAAAGCAAAUCAAAACAAAUUAUGUAGUUCAAUUCUCAAUCAACUCAAUGUUGAAGGAUGAAAUUGAAAAAAUAAUUAAUGAAAAAAGAUAAAAAAAACUAACUCGAGUCAACCCGAGUUAACUCAUGUUUCCUGCUAAGUUAAAAAUUCAUGACUAUUGGAAAUUGAAAAGACCUUUAAAUAAGACUUGAAAGUUAUUGUGCAUGAUUGUUUUUAUUUACCUUGUUAUAUUUGGAUUCUUUUUUCUAAUUAUCUUAGGACUUUUAAUUUAAAUACUUUUUUAUUAUUUAGGAAUCCUAAUGUUAUAUGGAUUUUAUUAGUUAGGUAAGUUUUAAUUAGUGAACAUGGGUAUAGCUCUUAAUUUUAGAAUGGGAAGAAUCAUAAUAUGUAGGAAUACGUAGAAAAUAAAUAGUGUAGAAGAAAAGAGAAGUGAGGUUGGCAGAAAACUCACUUAGGAAUCGCCGAUGAAUUUUGGGCAAAUUCAUCAUGCAUGUUCUAAGGGAUAUUUGGGCCUCAGAAUGAUAAAAUUUAGGAAACACCUCUCAGAGAAAUUGUAUCAUGAAAUGUUAACUUUUCAACGAAUUCGACCUCGCUCGAUUUGGAGCUCUAAAGCUCCAGAUAUAUGUGAAUAUAUAAGUAAAGGUCAAACUGCCGCCCCUGCUGACAGAUUUAACGAGAAUUAUUAAAAUAGUGGAUUUUGCCGCGAUAGGGGCAGAAAACCAGUUUCCUUCCUACCAAAAUUUUUGUAACAUUGAAUCGUGACUCUGGUAGGGAAUAAACCGCAUUUAAAAAUGAAGUUGAUGAUGUGCGUAAUGAUUUAAAACAAUGAAACGUAAAGAGUAAAUAUUGUUGUUGAUGCCUUGCUAUUUGCGAAAUGGAAACUGCACAUGAAGUGAUAUGGUAUACUUGUGAAUUCAGGAGGAACCGCAGAGAUAGUACAACAACAACAAGGGAACACAAAUCGAGCAUCAGUGGCAAGUAGGUGUUCCAUGCCUACACUCUCCUUAAUUGAUAAUAAACCUUGUAUUCAAAUUUAUGUUAGAGUCAAUACUUAUGAAUAUGGCUAAAGAAAGGAAAGAUAUGGUGAAACGGACAUGGAAUGAAAUCUGAUUUUUGGUCGUAGACUCUUGGACCUUGAUUUCGAAUAAGGACCAAUUUGAAGAAAAAAAAACCUAAAACAACCACCUUUAGACUUGAUUAGUUGAUCUCCAACAGGGGUGGCUAAUGAUGUUAGCAAAAAUUGUUAACAUCGGCAUGAUCUUGAUGGAAUUAUAAUGAACAUUGAACUUGAUUAACUAUUUGUAUCAAGAAUAGUUAAUGAUACCAACGGAUAAUGUCAGUAUCGGCAAUCCCAUAAUAACUUGAUUAGCUUCCUAAGGAGGAAGUUAAUGAUGUCAAGAGAACUUGGCACUGGCUUUAUUGGAAACACCUCCAAAUGAGAUGGAAAGGAAUUGAUUGAUUAUUUCGAGUUGGAAAUAGUCAAUGGUAUCGACCGAUUAAAUUGGUACCAACAUUACUAAGGAUUUGAUUAGUCGGUCCGGGUAAGGGUGACUAAUGACACUAAUAGGAGUUAUUAGUGUCAGCAGCGACCUCCUCAGAACUUGGGGCAGAGUAAUGAGAUGGAUGUAUCCGAUGAAGAAUAAUAUGUAAUAAUUAAGAGAAAACCAUAGGUGGUUGUGGAAGGAUAGGCUCUAUAUGUAGUAAAGGAAGCGUCAAGUGUGUUCUUUUUUUAUGGAUCAACGAUGUUAUGCCCUAUUGGUUGUGCACUUGUAUACAUAGAUACAUCUAGUAGUGACCCUCCAUUAAUUUGUUGUAUUUUAUUUAUUUAAUAUAAUUAUUCUCAUAUUUUGAUGAUACGGGUCUCUCUCAUUCAUGCCAGGAGUAGUGUCCUAGAUGUUUACUUCUUUUGCACGAGUUAGAAAAUUAGCGCCUCAAAUUCUUUUGUAUGAAUUAGGAAUUUCAUUUUCUUAAUUCCUUUUGUAUAAAUUAGGGGUCAUCAUUUCUACUUCUUUUGUAUGAACUUAGAAUGAAAUGAAUAUUGAAGUAUGUUGCUUUAAUUAAUUAUAUGACUUGAGUGAUGUUAGUAUUUUCUUAUGUAAAUCCUUGAGACUUAAGGCCUCUAUUAAUUUAUGUUUUUAAUAUUAAUGUUGCUAAUCAAGUUUAUUACUAUUAGUUUGUGUUGUAAAACUCUAUGCUGAGUUGAAUCUAUGGAAUUCUUAUAUUAUGACUAUUAAUGGUUGUAACUGCGAUGCAACAUAAAUAUGUGGUGAUUAUGGAAUGAACAUAAAUUAUGUGCAGGAUGAAUUGUCGAUAACUUGGGAUCUUCUAAUAUAGAAGAGACUACCAAAAUUUUGGUAGAAUGUGAAAUAAACCGCUAUAAAAAAAAAUUCUACCUAUAAAAUUUUAGUAAUAAACCACUUGAACUAACCAUCAUUGAUGGAGUGGAGGCCCUCUAAUGCACUAUACGGGCUCAGGAGCAUAAAAUAGAUCGUUGGGAACGGAGGUUUGAUUGCUUGGAGCAAACCAUAACAGAUCUAGCUCAGCUAAUGGGUUUCGCAAACAAGGAUCGUGAAUAUGAGAGGAACUUUCCUAGAAAUUUACCUCCAGAUAGGCCAAACCCCAUACCUAUUCUUGAAUUCGAUGGGAUUACAUUCUAUGAUAGGAGAUUUUUGAAGAAAAGAUUGAUUACAUUAUUAACAGAAUUGAAAGUUUACUUUUAUUUUAAAAAGGUCCAUAUCAUUAAAAGGUAAGACUUGUCACAUAUAAACUUUAUUAUAGUGCUAGAGAAUGGUGAUUUGAAUUUCUAGACUUUAGAACUCGUAUUAGUAUGUCUUUAAUUCCAGCUUGGCAAGAUUUGAGACAAUCAUUAAUUUUAGGGUUUAUACAAGAUGAUUAUAAAAGAGAUUUUAUAUUGAGUAAAUAAGCAAUUAUAUUGUUAUUAUUUGCUUUUUGUUAAACCUUCCAAAAUAGCAAGUAAGAAAAUUAUAGAAAAGGUGUCGUCUUUUCAAGGCAGAUAGUUUCAACAUCACAACAAUGACACCAACAACACUGCUGCAAAUACUAUUCUAAUUGUUAAUGUUUCAUCAAUUAAUGGUAAAGAAGAAAUCAAGAAGGCUUCUAAAUUAGUAUUUUGUAGUGAUUCUAAAGAUCUUGCAAAAAAAAAAACAUGGAGUACAUGGUAAUUUCUGACAAUUCUUUUAAAGAUAUAUAUUAUGAAAGAUUAUCUUAAAGUUUCUUUACAUACAAUGGUUAAAGUAUUGAAGAUCAUGGAUGAACUCAAGUUUGAAGCAAAAGAAUGUGGGAAGGAACUAUAAGUGAACUUCAUAAAAAUAUAAAGUAUAAUAUUAAUAUGGAUUAUGUUUUAGAAAGCACACAUCAUAAAUUAAAUUUUGGAGUUCACAUGUUAAAGACAUAGUACUUUGUGAAUAUAUUGGUUACAAUGUUAUAUAUUUGUUCAUUUAGAGUAGAAGAGUUCAGUUUUUUAUAGAUAACUUGAGGACAAGUUUUUCAAAAGUAAAAGGAACUGGCAUGUUCAUUAUUCUUGACAUAAUAAUGUUUAUUAUAUUAUUUCAUUAGUGGUUAAGACUUACAGGUUUUAAAGAGUUUAAGAAGAGUUCAAGAUGUAGUUUGGUAAAUCAAAUAUAAUUUUUAAUCCAAUUGUUGUAUCAAGCCAAACUUUUAACAAAAAAUUCUGAAAAUCUUGUUUUCUACUAGGUUAAAAUUUUAUGACAAUCAAAGAUCAUGAAAGCUUUUAAAUAAGGCUCGGAAGUUAUUGUGCUAAAUUGUUUUUAAUUACCUUGUUGUAUUUAGAUUUUUUUUUCCUAUUUUGCUUAGGGUUUUAAUUUAAAUAGUAUUUUAUUAUUUAAAAUUGUAUUUAGAUUCUUUUUUUUAUUUUUCUUUGGACUUUUAAUUUAAAUAAUAAUAUUUAAGAAUCCUAAUGCUAAAUAGAUUUUAUUAGAUAGUUAAGUUUUAAUUAGGAAUCCUUUGAUUGAGGAUUUUAGUUUUAAUUAGAAAUUUUUCUUCUAGAGAAUUCUAAGUCUAUAAGUAGAAUUAAUAGAAAUAUCUAGUUAGUUUUAUUCAUAUUUAAAAUUUAUAAAAUAUUAUAAAUUUCUCUAAAUUGAAAUCGUAAUAUUAGAGCUCGAAAAGCGUCCGGACAUCGUGAAAUUGAAAUCCACUUUGUAUCCAGGCCAUUUACUAAAUAGGUAGAGCCAAGUGAACAUCUUGCUAUUAACAUCUAUUCAAACAAAGCAAAACAAAAGCUUAAAAGGGGAGAAAGCGAGGAGAAGCUGCAAAAUCCUAAAAUCUUCAUUGAGUUCUAUACAAAAUAAUAAACUUAAAAGAUGGAGAAAAUAUGAACUCUACUCAUUCAAGCCUCAUUUCUUGCUUGCUUUGAAAUGUCUUCAGCUGCUUUGACUGCUUCAGAAGAGAAAAUAUCCAGCUUCUUCAAUCCAUUUCUUAGUCUCUCGUUCUGAUGCGUCUUUGUAAACGUAUUCAUGGAAAUAUUAAUUUCCAGUUAAUAUCACUUCAUGGUAGACAAUUGAGGUCUCCAUCUGUUUCCUCUGUUUGUUGUUGGAGGAGAGGGUUUGGUUGGGGGUGGGGGGAGAAAUCUUGUUCAAGGGAGUAAGUUUAAGAUAAUGUUCAGUAACUGUCUCAAAAAUAAAAAAGACAAAGGAACAUUUUUCCUUUUCUUCUAUAUUUUAAAAAGACAGAAACUCACUCCAAAACUGUUCUAAAAAUAUAUUUAUUUUAUAUCUUUGUUUUUGUCUUUUUAUCCAAACACGAGUAUGUUAUUUUAUAUUUAUUUAUUUUUUAAUCUUGAAAUACUAACCAAUCACAUUUUAAAACAAUUUUUAUUCAACCUAAACAUGCACUCUCUUUUUCGAGGAGAUAUCAUUCAUUGAAUUUGAAACAUGGUUAAAAAAUUUUGGUUGUGGGGUUUUUUGCUUCAAGAGAAAAACAAAUAAACUAGUUACCAUCACAAGACUUUAGAGUGAAAAAGAUAUUUUUGUUUUUUUAUCCCCUAAGCAGCUCAAAUUUAAUAAAAAAAAACAUUCCAAAGAAAAUGUUUGAAAGUAAAGUAUACUUUUUUUAUUUAACACAGAUUAUAACAUAUCCCAUUGCUUCAAACAUGUUGUUACAAAGAUUUAGAAGCCAAGCUCAUAUGGUGACUCUAUUUUCCUAGAGCCGUGUAUUCGUGUUGGUGAUGUUACGAGGAUCAAGAGUGUGCGUUCAUGCAAGGAUCAGGUAUGUAGAGUCUCUUACGGCAGUAUUUCUUCACUGGAGAAUAUGUCAACUUCACUUCUGUCUUGCAUGCUAUUAAUUUCCAGAUACAAUGUUCAAAUAUCUGAAAACGGUCCCACCCCGUAGGUCCACCUGCACACACAAGUCCUAAAUUUCUUACGUUGUUAUAUGAUGUCUCAGUAGUAUAUUUCCCGCUGGUUGCGAAUGAUCCAAAUUCCAUAUCAACUAGGAAAAAGAUGUGUGCUCUAGGACCACGCAUUUCCCUUUUGCUAAAAAACUACUAGAUUUUCAGCAUGGAAUGUUGGAAAUUGUUUGCUUGCUUUGAAAUGUCUUCGGCUGCUUUGACAGCUUCAGAAGAGAAAAUAUCCAGCAUCUUCAAUACAUUUCUUAGCCUCCCAUUCUGAUGCGUCUUUUAAACGUAUCAUGGAAAUAUUCAUAUGAACUCAUUUAUCUUUCUGGUUCCACAAUCCUUUUCGGAAUUUAAAAAAAAACUUUUAAUAACUUCCAUCUUACUAGCUCUUAAUAAAUUUGUAGUUUUACUCUUUUCUCAGUUGGUUGCAAAUACUGGUUGAGCUACAGGGUGAUAUCUUCUUCUUUCAAGCCAGUAAUUUAUCUGAAGUUGCAAAGGUGGAGGUCUGCCAAGUGGUAGCUCACAAACAAGCUUAAUAUUGUAAGUUACAGAAAUGGAUCUGGGUCCGUUUAAGAAGGUUGUCUUAGGUUCAGUUGCCUUCGCAAUCUUUUGGAUUUUGGCAGUUUUCCCAGCAGUUCCUUUCUUACCCAUUGGAAGGACAGCAGGUUCCAUCCUCGGGGCAACUCUUAUGGUUAUCUUCAAAGUCAUCACCCCUAAGCAAGCAUAUGAUGCCAUCAACCUCCCUGUACUGGGCCUUCUCUUUGGAACCAUGGUUGUAAGCAUCUAUCUUGAAAGAGCAGACAUGUUCAAGCACUUGGGAGUCUUGCUCUCAUGGAAGAGUCGGGGUGCGAAGGACAUGCUCUGCCGGAUCUGCAUUGUUUCUGCCAUUUCAAGUGCUCUGUUCACUAAUGACACCGCAUGUUUCUUUCUCACUGAGUUCAUAUUAAAGAUUGCUAGACAAAACAAUAUUCGACCCGAACCUUUCUUGCUUGGGUUGGCUUCAAGUUCGAAUAUUGGAUCCUCUGCAACUCCAAUCGGCAACCCUCAAAACUUGAUAAUUGCUAUUCAUAGUCGCAUCUCUUUUGGGGAAUUCGUAUUGGGACUUCUUCCCGCGGUGCUUGUGGGUGUCUUUGUGAAUGCUUUAAUUCUUAUAUGCAUGUUUCGGAGGUUGUUAUCUGAUGUUAAGGAAGAAGAAGAUGCUUUGUAUGAAAUGAUUGUUCAGGAAGAUUCAGCUGUCCAUCAGAUUUCGCUUGCUACCAUGUCAUCUCCCAAUUCUUUGGAAUAUCACGAAUAUGAUCCCAUUGCAGAACAUGUGAACGCCCAGAGGAUGUGUGAAUUGGAUAUGUGCAGUGAUUCCUGUGGUGAAAUUGAGCUGAUGAAAGCAGUCCUUUCAAAGAAGGAGGCAACUGAUAAUAUGUUUUCUGAAAUAGGAGAGCCAAUGGAGGAAAGAUUUGCAAGGGGUGGAGUACAAGGGACCAUGGAGAUGAUGACUGAUUUAGAGCCCGGGCCGCAACAGUCCGCUGAAGAAAGUAAAGGCCAGCUGAAUAGAUGGAAGAGAUUGUGUAUUUACCUUGGUACUGUUGGAAUGCUGGUUGCUUUUCUAAUGGGUUUGGACAUGUCUUGGACUGCACUCACAGCAGCCCUCAUUUUUGUGAUUCUUGAUUUCAAAGAUGCAGGGCCUUGCCUAGAGAAGGUAAAUCAACAGGUCUUUCACAA
rnacentral:lncRNA from 1 species